UUCUUUCGUCAUUAUCAACUGCCUCUUUCUCUCUCUUUCACCAUCUAAAAACCCUAAUCACAUUCUUCUCCUUCAUGCCUGUUGUUCAUCCUCCUCCUUCUGCUUCAACUUCCCAUCUGACGUUCUUUCUAUCAACAAACCCUAAUGAAUAAUAUACCCGAUCAAUCCGUUCUUUAGUUUCUUCAUUCCUUUUUCAAACCCUAAAACUCCAGCCGUACAGAGAUUGAAGAGAUUCACCAGGUGGAGAUGGCAGAGGAAGCGGUAUCUUUUGUGGGUAGUUCCUGAUUGGUGACCCUAAAACAGGUGAUAUCCUGCUUAGAUCAGAAAGUGCAUGUAUUAUUCCGGCCAAAUCACGACGGCUAAGGUAUACCACCCUACCAACCGACGAAGACGUUGAAUGGAAUAGUCAGUUGUGCUUCGGCUAGGGUUCCGCUGCGAACCUGAUGACGAGAUGAUCGGAGGUUGUCGGCUCUGCUGCCUGCACUUCUCUUGGUUAAUUUUUGGUCAGGUUUGCUGUUCGAUUUUGAGGUUCACUUGUCUAAUUUUUAUUUUAUUAUUGGGGUUCCAUCUGAUUUUGAGGUCGAUUGAAUGGUUAUGUUGUAUUGGAUUUGAAGUUUAGGGUUAGUUAUAAAUAUAUUUUUUUCAUUCUUCCAUCUUGAGUUUUUAGGUUAUGGUUUGUUUUCAGCUUUGUGUUGAUAUCUAUCUCAUUACCAAUAUAAUGCGGACUGAAUUUUAAAUUUUGUGAAAUUUUGCAUCUAGGGUUACAGGUUUUCAAAAUUUGUACCCAAAAGCCCUAAAUUGUUACAAUUUUUCAGUUCUCAUAUGGCGUUACUCAUUUCUUAACAAGGUGGCUGCCAACUUAUGGAAGACUUCUUUACGGUAUUAAGAAAGAGUAUGCGUAGGGGCCACAGUUUAUCUGAUAUAGCCUUUUUAAACGGUGACUCAAGGGUACUUGCUUCUGACACAUGUGGGGCAAUAAGUAUGUUGGACAGAAGAUUGAGUGAUCUUCCACGAAGUGUGCUGACAACUAAGAAGAACACCAGCCUUACUAGCAUCCAGUUACUUGGAGAUCAAUAUGUAUGGUGCUAGCAAGAGUGGGUUUAUAAAUAUAUAUAUAUAUAUAUAUAUAUAUAUAUAUAUAUAUAUGGGAUCUACGUGGUGGAGGAUCACCCGCUGCUUCUCAAAGUGACAAGGAGCCGGCAGGUGCACUCUUCCCACUAACAUCAGUUAACUUAGAAUCUAUUCUGAAUGAAAUUGGGCCUCUAAAGGCACAAUCAAACAGUCGACCAAAGUAAAUACAUAAUCUAUCAACAUUAAUCCAUCCUGUCCAUAUCAGCUGGGAUUCCAUCUUGAUGAUGGUUGGUAUGGUGUUUUGGAUAUGCAUAAUUACUGAGUGUUAUCCAUAGCCCUCCCCCUCCUCCGUGGCCAGCUGGGAUUCCAUCUUGAUGAUGGUUGGUAUGGUGUUUUGGAUAUGCAUAAUUACUGAGUGUUAUCCAUAGCCCUCCCCCUCCUCCGUGGCUGUGGUAGGUGCAGUUUAAGGAAGAGUACCAGUUCUGUUUGAUGGAGGAUAAGGCGAGGAACAGAUGUAUUCAAAGUUGAUCGCUCUGGAUACACAUGCGGUUACGGAAUUUUACCUGCAAAUUUUUUCGCUCAACUGUUUAUAUACUUCUUUGAUUCUGGUAUGUUCCCUAUUGAUUCUAGAGUUGCACAAAUUUCUUAUGAUCCUCAUAAACUGUAUAUGUUAUAGGAGCUGAAUUUGUGUAAACAUUAUUUACUGCUUUCUUCAACUAUACACUCACUAAUUGUUAUAAUUUUCAGGUGAAGCUAAAAGGGAUUGUGUUGUAGCACUGUCAGCUUGUCCCCAUGCCAAAGCCAGUACAUGUUCCAGUGCCAGAGUUAGAUGAUGUGGAAGCUGUCAGGCAAAUAUUGGUUCAGUCAACUGAUUUGGGAGCAGUCCAAGGCACUUAUAUACUGCAACUAACUGCCAUAUGGAUAUGAUGGACUUUCUUUAGUCGAAUGCUUCAUAUCUUUACACAAGAAGAAUUCUUGUAUAGUUAUCAAAGGUGCUAGGUGCCCCCAAGGUGUAUAGGCAUCGCCUGGGGCCUAGGCGCAAAGCGCAAAAAAAAGCGAAAAAAAAGCGCACUUAAAUGAAACAAGCCAGAUGCUGAGAUGUAUGCCUCUUUUACACAAUAUUGUAAAAUUACAUUAUUUAAUGUUAUCGUUCAAUCGGUUACUAAUUUUACCUAUCCAUUUUAGUUUA